rnacentral:rRNA from 1 species
ACACAUCGUCGCGACC